rnacentral:rRNA from 1 species
AUUGAACGCUGGCGGCAGGCUUAACACAUGCAAGUCGAACGAGCGGCGGACGGGUGAGUAAUGUAUGGGGAUGUGCCCGAUAGAGGGGGAUAACUACUGGAAACGGUGGCUAAUACCGCAUACUCUCGGAUGAACCGAUAUGGGAUUAGAUAGUAGGGGGGGUAAAGGCUCACCUAGGCGACGAUCUCUAGCUGGUCUGAGAGGAUGAUCAGCCACACUGGGACUGAGACACGGCCCAGACUCCUACGGGAGGCAGCAGUGGGGAAUAUUGCACAAUGGGCGCAAGCCUGAUGCAGCCAUGCCGCGUGUAUGAAGAAGGUCUUAGGGUUGUAAAGCACUUUCAGCGGGGAGGCGUUACCCGCAGAAGAAGCACCGGCUAACUCCGUGCCAGCAGCCGCGGUAAUUC